rnacentral:rRNA from 1 species
CAAUAGCGUAUAUUAAAGUUGUUGCAGUUAGAACGCUCGUAGUCGGAUUUCGGGGCGGGCCGACCGGUCUGCCGAUGGGUACGCACUGGUCGGCGCGUCCUUCCUUCCGGGGACCGUGCCUACUCUUAACUGAGCGGGGGCGGGAGACGGAUCGUUUACUUUGAAAAAAUCAGAGUGUUUCAAGCAGGCAGCUCGCUCUUGCAUGGAUUAGCAUGGGAUAAUGAAAUAGGACUUUGGUGCUAUUUUGUUGGUUUCGAACACCGAAGUAAUGAUUAAAAGGGACAGUCAGGGGCACUCGUAUUCCGCAGAGAGAGGUGAAAUUCUCAGACCCGCGGAAGACGAACCACUGCGAAAGCAUUUGCCAGGGAUGUUUUCACUGA